GACGGAGGAUGCAAGCGUUAUCCGGAAUUAUUGGGCGUAAAGCGUCCGCAGGUGGUGUUUCAAGUCUGCCGUUAAAGACCGGGGCUCAACCCCAGAAAGGCGGUGGAAACUGAAAGACUAGAGUGCGGUAGGGGCAGAGGGAAUUCCCGGUGUAGCGGUGAAAUGCGCAGAUAUCAGGAAGAACACCCGUGGCUAAGGCGGCUCUCUAGUACGUGACUGACGCUAAGACGCGAAAGCGUGGGGAGCGAACAGG
rnacentral:rRNA from 1 species